CGCCUACCCAAGAAGUAGCCGAUAUGUUGUUUUCUUUACGCCUUUGAUCAACUGUACCAAGAGUUUGCCAGGUCCCAGGUUGGCCAUCCUUUCCAGAACCAUCCGCAUCUGAAUAAACAGAAAAUUUAAAUUUAGGUUUAGAAAUUUUAGUCCUAGACUGGGAUAUUUCCUGGAUAUUUGUUGACUCAAAUGUCGUUUGUAAAGGAUUAACCGAAUUUGUAUUUGAAGAGAAUGAUUGUGGGGCAAAUUCCAACCAACGGUGAGUAAAUUGCUGAUACUUUUGCUGAAAUCUCAAAAAUGGCUUAGCCUUCAUUCUUUUUCCUUUCUGAUAAACUUCGUCAGCUUUUUGAAACAAUCCCCUAGACUCGAAAUAAUUUGCGUAUUCCUCAUAAAAAAUCGAGGACUCCUGUCCAAUAUGAUGAUGUGCCAAGAAAGAAAAUAAUUCAACCGGUUCGUCUAUAUAGUUUACAUAUUGCAUCCAUAUUCGUAAAUACCGAACAUCAUCUUUAUAAAGCGGAUUUCGUACGAAUUCUCGAGUACACCUUUCUAACAAUGUUACCAGUCCACUAGUUUUUGUUUCACCUUGAGGGAAAUUAUCCAAGGUCCAUUUAAUAUAAUCGAUCCAAACUUGUAGUGGAUCAUCAAGAGACUCGCUCGUCUCUAUUUUUCGUUCAUGGCCCAUCCUUUCUUUUUGCAGACCAGCAACUUCUUUUUCGGUGUGGUUUCGCGACGAAGAUUUUGCAAGUGCAGAAGCUGAAUGACCAGCUUUUCUAGGCUCUAUGUUUUCCUUGGACUGCUCAAUGACAUCCAUAUGCACCCAGUUCUUGCCAGCAUCUAAUGGUUCCAUUUGUAGUCAAUGUCUUCCAAAAAAUUAGUAAACCUUUUCUAGAGAACCCUAUACCUUCCACUAAAUGAAAAUAAAUAAAACAAAGAAGGAGAUGUGAGUGUAGUAGUAUUGGAAAGUUUAUUUAGACAAGUACAAUUCUAUU